GUUAGGUGUGAGAACACAUCUUCUCCCAUUUGCCUUGCUUCCUUAGGGGCUGGGACUGAUCUUGCUGGAAUUGAUCCUACAGCUGGAAGCAGUCGCAUGGGACUUUGCGGUAGGAUCCUCACUGCAGUGAUGCCACUUGGGGUGACUCACUUGCUGUCUCCACGUCUCCUCUUCAUCAGCUGAAGAUAACUCCUACUGGGAUACACCGAUCCUUGGUGUGCUUCAGCAUCUGGAGAUCCUAAGAGGAAUGACACAGAGCGAUGGGAAGCACAGGUGGUUUUUGUGCUGAGCCUUCCAAGUCCAGCAGGUAGAUCCUGGCGAACGAGAAGACUUUUUUAUUUUUUUGGCCUGGAAGUGAAUUGUUUGGAAUUUUUUAAGAUUUUUUAAAAUUAUUUUUAGUUUUCAUUAAAAGCAACCAUUUCAAGUAUGUACGGAUCA
rnacentral:lncRNA from 1 species